UACAGAGGUCCCAAGCGUUGUUCGGAUUCACUGGGCGUAAAGGGUGCGUAGGCGGUUUGAUAAGUCUGACGUGAAAUCUCCGGGCCUAACCCGGAAACUGCGUUGGAAACUAUCAAGCUCGAGGAAUGGAGGGGAGACUGGAAUACUUGGUGUAGCAGUGAAAUGCGUAGAUAUCAAGUGGAACACCAGUGGCGAAGGCGAGUCUCUAGACAUUUCCUGACGCUGAGGCACGAAAGCCAGGGGAGCAAACGGG
rnacentral:rRNA from 1 species